AUAAGGACUCCUAGACUAAUACUAAUAGACUAAUAAGGACUCCUAGACUAAUACUAAUACUUCCUAACAUUGCCAUGAUGAGAACUCAAAAUGAUGGUCAUAUUUAUUUCUCUCUGAACACAUUUCUGAUCAACAGCAAUGUAGGAUUGCACUCAAUGUGCCCCUGAAGCCCAGUCAGUUUUCUGACCCAAAUGCUUGGAAAAGAUCAUGCACUUCUACUAACUAAUAUGGCUGCAAAUCCAGAGGAACCCUUGAGGUGCUGGUGAUGAAGAUUCGGUUGUGGAGCCAAUGGUGAUGAUGUUCUGGUCCUGCUGCUGGAAGAAACAUUACUGCAGCUCUUAAGAUUAUAGGUUUAUCAGGUCACCUGUCAAGCCAGCAGUUAUCGAAGCCUGUUUCUCUGUGAAGGUCGGGUGUGGGGGAGCUGCAGGUUUGUAUAAAGGUACUUCCGCUAUAACUGAAUGAAUGCAGUUGUGUGUACUUCAGAAGAUACCAGAUUGAAGGGGGGAAUCUUCAUUGAACUGAUUUCAUUUGGUGAAAUAACUCACUGAAUCAAAUAUCACAUGUCUGACCUCCGAUUUCUUUUUCUUCAGUCAUGAUGCGUUUUUUUAGUGAUGUUUAGAUACUCGGUGCAUAUUUUUGUUAAGGAAUUCAAGAGAAUUUACCGA